rnacentral:rRNA from 1 species
UACGUAGGCAGCGAGCGUUGUUCGGAGUUACUGGGCGUAAAGGGUGUGUAGGCGGUUUGGUAAGUCUGGUGUGAAAUCUCCCGGCUCAACUGGGAGGGUGCGCCGGAAACUGCUGGACUUCGAGUGCGGGAGAGGAAAGUGGAAUUCCUGGUGUAGCGGUGAAAGUGCGUAGAUAUCAGGAGGAACACCGGUGGUGUAGACGGCUUUCUGGACCGUAACUGACGCUGAAACACGAAAGCGUGGGUAGCAAACAGG